AUGAGCAUCGUCCUUAGAUGCUUGUGCGUGCAGCUAGCCAUAGCCUCGUUCUUGCUCACACAAACCAGCUCCACUGAAACCCAUGCCAACAACACGGGCAGUUGUGUUGCGAGUGAGAGAUCCGCCCUUGUCCGCUUCAAAGCGGGCUUGUCGGACGCUGCAAACCGCCUUUCGACGUGGCGGGGCGACGACUGCUGCCGGUGGAAGGGUGUCCGUUGCAGCAAGAGCACCGGCCAUGUCAUCAAGCUCGAUCUUCAAGGUUCUUACGGCAGCUAUCUAGGAGGCAACAUGAGCUCCUCGUUGGCUGGUCUAGAACGCCUGAGGUACCUCGACCUCAGCGGCAACUCGUUUAGCGGCUUUCAGCUAGCAGAGACUUUGCCGUCUCUCCACCACUUGAGGUAUCUAAACCUGUCCAGCUCGGGCUUUGUUGGAAGGAUACCACCACAGCUGGGUAAUCUCUCCAACUUACGUUACUUGAGUCUUGGUGGUAACGCCGACACAUACUCCACGGAUAUCGCGUGGCUGUCGCGAUUAUCUUCCCUUGAACACCUGGACAUGAGCUCUGUGAACCUUAGCGCCAUUCCGAACUGGUUGCCAGUCGUGAAUAUGCUUCCUUCCCUCAAAGUUCUUCUUCUUACUAGCUGCCAGCUUAACAACAGUCCUGAUUCUCUUGUGCAUUCAAACCUGACAUCUCUUGAAACUCUCGACAUUUCCUUCAACCUUGCCCCGAAGCGUCUAGCACCCAACUGGUUUUGGGGCUUGACUAGCCUUAAGUUGCUUGAUAUCUCAUGGAGUCAAUUUAGUGGUCCAAUUCCUGACGAGAUUGGGAAUAUGACCUCCAUGGUAGAGCUCUAUCUGUCACAUAAUAAUCUUGUGGGCAUGAUACCAUCAAACCUGAAAAAACUUUGUAACCUGGAAACAUUGUUUAUACAUGAUGCCGGUAUCAAUGGAAGCAUAAUGGAAUUCUUUCAACGGUUGCCUUCUUGUUCAUGGAAUAAAUUUUCAGCAUUGGAUCUAUCUAACAACAGUUUGACAGGAAGCCUACCAACCAAGCUCCAAGAAUCCUGUAUCAAUCUGACCUUUCUCUAUCUUGGUGGAAACAAACUCACAGGUCAUGUGCCGCUAUGGAUAGGAGAGCUCAGAAAGCUAACUGCAUUGAACCUAAUGAACAACUACCUGGAUGGUGUUAUACAGGAAGGUCAUUUAUCAAACCUACCAAGAUUGCAGAGGCUGUUGUUGUCAGGUAAUUCAAUAGCCAUCACAGUGAAUUCAACUUGGCUUCCUCCAUUUAAUCUGACCAUGAUUGGACUCCGGUCGUGCCUACUCGGACCUAAAUUUCCGAUGUGGUUACGUUGGCAAACACCUAUAUACCUCGACAUCUCAAAUGCAAGCAUCUCCGACAUAGUUCCGGAUUGGUUUUGGAUAAUGGUUUCCUCGUUGGACUCGGUUAGAAUGCAACAAAAUCAACUUCGUGGUUUUCUACCAUCUACAAUGGAAUAUAUGAGGACAUCCGCAAUGGAUCUCAGUUCCAAUCAAUUCACUGGUCCAAUUCCUAAGCUUCCUAUUAAUCUAACCUACUUGGAUCUUAGUACAAACAAACUAUCAAGGCUACCAUUAGAAUUUGGAACGCCACAACUUGAAGUACUUCUUCUAUUUGGCAACUCGAUCUCUGGUACCAUUCCAUCAUCUUCGUGCAAGUUGACAUCAUUGAAGCUAUUAGAUAUAUCAAGAAAUGAGCUCACUGGGUCAGCUCCUGAUUGCCUAGUCAAUGAAUCCACUACAAACACAGAAAGUUUGAGUCUUAGUAACCUAAGCUUAAGAAACAACAACCUCUCUGGUGUUUUUCCUUUAUUCCUCAAAAAUUGUCCCCAGCUCAUAUUUCUUGAUCUCGCACACAAUAAAUUCUUUGGGACUUUGCCAUCAUGGAUUGGGGAGAAGUUGCCAUCUUUGGCAUUCUUACGGUUGAGAUAUAAUAUGUUUCAUGGCCACAUUCCUUUGGGGCUCACGAAGCUAGCUAAUCUUCAAUAUUUGGACCUUUCCAACAACGAUAUUUCAGGAAACAUACCAAAAUCCAUUGUUAACUACACACGGAUGAUUCUAAGCAGAGAUAAAUCUGAUAAAUUUAAUGGAGUACUCAAUUUUGAAGAUGUUGUUUAUCGCUCUGACGUUGACUACACAGAGAAUUUCACAAUAGUCACAAAAGGCCAAGAGAGGUUAUAUACAGGUGAAGUCAUAUACAUGGUAAAUCUUGAUUUGUCGUGUAACAACAUAACAGGAGAGAUUCCUGAAGAGAUCGGCGCUCUUGUGGCGCUGAAGAGCCUGAACCUAUCAUGGAAUGCCCUCAGUGCAAAAAUUCCUGAGAAGAUUGGCGCCUUGGUGCAAGUCGAGUCUCUUGACCUAUCACAUAAUGAAUUGUUCGGUAAAAUCCCUACAGGCUUAUCGGCUCUCACAUCAUUGAGUCACUUGAACCUGUCCUACAACAAUCUGAGUGGAGAGAUACCAUCUGGAAAUCAACUUCAAACACUUGAUGAUCAGGAAUAUAUUUAUGUGGGCAAUCCAGGCCUUUGUGGUCCCACGAUCUCCAAGAAAUGUCCAGGAACUGAGUUAAUUCCAGCUACUCCGGAACAUCAUGAAGAUGCAAGCAAUAUGAUCUCGUUUUACAUCGCCAUGAGCUCUGGAUAUGUAAUGGGCCUCUGGGUAGUCUUCUGCACAUUCUUGUUCAAGAGGAAAUGGAGAAUUUUCUGGUUCUCAUUCUGUGACAGCUUGUACAACCGAGUUUAUGUGAAGGUGGCUGUUAGUUGGGCUUCCUGGACAAGGAAAGAUGGGUAG
rnacentral:rRNA from 1 species